rnacentral:rRNA from 1 species
UGCAGGAUCCCGUGAACCAUCGAGUUUUUGAACGCAAGUUGCGCCCGAAGCCUUUAGGCCGAGGGCACGUCUGCCUGGGCGUCACGC